rfam:Hordeum vulgare subsp. vulgare, WGS project CAJW01000000 data, contig: morex_contig_2367559
UAUAUAUUCCCUCCGUCCCAAUAUUCUUGUCUUAGAUUUGUCUACAUAUGAAUGUAUGUAGUCACGGUUUAGUAUUUAGAUACAUUUAUUUUUAGACAAACUUACGACAAGAAUUUUGGGACGGAGGGGGUAUUUG